UACGUAGGGUGCAAGCGUUAAUCGGAAUUACUGGGCGUAAAGCGUGCGCAGGCGGUUUUGUAAGUCAGAUGUGAAAUCCCCGGGCUUAACCUGGGAACUGCGUUUGAAACUACAAGGCUAGAGUGUGACAGAGGGGGGGUGGAAUUCCACGUGUAGCAGUGAAAUGCGUAGAGAUGUGGAGGAACACCGAUGGCGAAGGCAGCCCCCUGGGUCAAGAUUGACGCUCAUGCACGAAAGCGUGGGGAGCAAACAGG
rnacentral:rRNA from 1 species